rnacentral:rRNA from 1 species
CCUACGGGAGGCAGCAGUAGGGAAUUUUCGUCAAUGGGCGCAAGCCUGAACGAGCGAUGCCCCGUGAGUGAAGAAGGCCUUCGGGUCGUAAAGCUCCGUUGCGGGGGAAAAAAGGCAGCAUCAGGAAAUGGGUGCUGACUGAUGGUGCCCCGCCAGAAAGUCACGGCUAACUACGUGCCAGCAGCCGCGGUAAUACGUAGGUGGCGAGCGUUAUCUGGAGUGAUUGUGGGUAUAGGGUGAGCAGGCGGUGCUGGAAGUAUGG